CGGCCUCCGCUCCGCCUGACAACCGCGCGGCUCUAGCUGCGCUUGGGUGGGCCCGGGGGGCUUCCGGCGGCGGGCGGCGAUGCUGAAGGCCAAGAUCCUGUUCGUGGGGCCCAGCGAGAGUGGAAAAACCUUUCUGGCCAACUUUCUGACAGAAUCUUCUGACAUCACCGAAUACAACCCAACCCAAGGAGUGAGGAUCCUGGAAUUUGAAAACCCACAUGUUACCAGCAACAACAAGGGCUCAGGCUGUGAAUUCGAGCUGUGGGAUUGUGGCGGAGAUCGCAAGUUCGAGUCCUGCUGGCCAGCCCUGAUGAAGGACGCUCACGGAGUGGCCAUCAUCUUCAACACUGACAUCCCAAGCCACCUGAAGGAAAUUGAAAUGUGGUAUUCCUGCUUUGUCCAGCAGCAGCUAUUACAGGAUAAUCAGUGUCUAUUAAUUGCGCAUCACAAACCAGGCUCUGGAGGUGAUAAGGGAAAUCUGUCUUUGCCACCACCCUUGAACAAGCUGAAGCUGGUACACUCGAAUCUUGAGGAUGACCCUGAAGAGAUCCGGAUGGAAUUCAUAAAGUAUUUAAAAAGCGUAGUCAGCUCAGUAUCUGAGACCAGAGACCGGGAAGAAAUGUCAAUUAUUACCUAACCAGCCUUCAUCAAGGAGUAUUCCGCAUCCCAGAUGCAGUCAGCCUGUUCCCCCAAGCAGAUCUGAGAUCUCAGCCAGCUACUGAUGUUUCUUCCCUCUGGGGCUGUAUAAGAAAAAUUUUUUAUCUGCCAGGGGGACAUUUGACUCAUGCCAUCCACUCCCUGUCUUUAGUUCAGCUGAGAAAAUCUUAUUAAUUCUGAUUCCCUUGCCCCAGACCUUUCUAAAGAACUGGAAUUUGAGGGUUUUUUGUUUUUUUUUCAACCCCUCUUCACAUGUAUCUAGUUAUAAAAAUGUGGAGUUGUAACUACUGUAGCCCAAGCAGUAAUUUAAUCCAUGUGUAUUGGUCCGAGUCAGAUUUUAAUUCCUUGGUGCAUUCUACAGAUACUGACUUUUUGAGGACCUAAUGUGUGCCAAGGACUGUUCUAGCUGCUGAGCAUGAACAAAACAGACUAACAUCCUUACCCUCAGGGAAUGUUUCUGGAAAACAAGAAACUCUUGAGGAGUUUCUCUGAAGCUCAACCCUCCCACAGCACCAGUGAGUCUUCUUGGGGACUUUUCCAGUCAAGAAUGGCCAAAGCAACCUGACUCUGUCCUUGGCCCCCCAGAUUCUUCAAAAGCAGGACAGAAUUCUGAUGGUGAAGAUAGAGGAAGUGGACCGAUUGUGGGGAAAGAACCCUGCUCCAACAGAAGCAUCCACCCAGCGGGGAGGUGGCCCAUCAAUACUUCCCACAGUUCUACUAGGAGAUGGUGACAUUACGACUGAAAACAAGGGGUUCACUUCAUCUCAGGAACUUUCUGAAAGAGGAUCCCAUGGGGCGACCUCAAGAAGACUCUCCAGGGAAGCUCUUUGGGUGCCAGCACUGGGAGACACCUCUGGGUGUCCCGGUACCUUAGAGCAGCAUCUGGGGAACCUCUCAGAAGAGAGGCCAAGCAGCGCCCCUUCCCAAGAGAAGAGUUUCAAGCUAGAGAGAAGAGAGAGAAGCUGUUAUGGUGACAAGAGCAACCAAACCUGCAGGCCAGGUGAGCCCUUUGUCCCAAAUCAGAGAAGGUGGACAGACAAAAGACCCCCUUAGAAGUAGGUCAGUUUCUGACCAUGCCCAACUCUUACUCAGCACCAGAGAGUCCGCACGGGAGAGAAAACUUUGGCGUGCAGAGAGAGAAUAUGGCCGACCUUCGGCAGAACCCUCACCUCACUCAGACACUCCACCCAGGAGAAAACCCCUCAAGGGCAGAGCUUGUGGAAGGGCCUUUGCCAGAGCUCUGCCAUCAUUAAACACCAAAGUUUCAGCCCAGGGAGAGAAGCCCUGUGAGCCCCUAGAUCAUGGGGAGGCCUGCGGAGAAUCCACACCCAGGAGUGACCCUGCGUGUUGAUAAACAUGUGGAGGCUCCAUGUGUGGCCCCUGAAACAACCUGUUUGAAGGCUGCAGGCAAAAUACUGGCCCCCCAUGACUUUGACUCAGCCUCCUCAUUUCACCAGAGGUUCAGAAAUUAAGAGGCAGCAUAAAGCAUUUAACAGAUCCCUCAGAAAGAACACACUGAGUGUCCCUGAAGGCCAGGCCUGUGGAGAAGUGCUUCAGUGAGAACCCUGUGUAGUGGGAGAGCAAGAGGGCUGGUGGCAACUUCCACCUCAGAAGGAAUAGGCAGUUACCACCGUGGGCAUCUCAAGGGCUUUUUUCCUGGGAUUGGGUUGCCAGAAAAGCCCCAGAGAACCAUUCGUGCCCAGCAUGAUGCUGAGGUGCAGCUCUUUCUGAGAUUGCUGGGCGACUUAGCACCAAACUAUCGAACUAUUGAAAUCGGUUCACUGCCGCCUGCCCGUCAGCUCCCACGUGACUCUAAGCGACCCAAGCCAACUCCCUGUGUGGCUGCCUUACUUUGGAUGCACCUGGCCCCCCACUUGUGGAUCUGCCUGCACCAGAAGCUUUCCUGGUUCCUGCGCUUCACUAGCAGAGAAUUCGUGCCCUGGGAAACCCACUGAAUGGCAGCACUGACGUGGCAUGUGGCAAUUGAAUGAUUCUUUGCUAACAGGGUCCAACGUGGGUCAGGCACAGAAGUCCAACCCAAGCUUCUGAGAGGCGGCAGGUGUCCUGAGGAAGGCCCCGACAGGACUCAGAAGAGCCAGCAUCGAGUACCAGCUCACAGAUUGAAAGCUCUUUGAGGCUGAACCACAUCUGGUCCUCUGUAUUCUCCACGGCACCUAGGAACACUCCAAGACUUGGAAAAGGUUGGCGGAUUGGCUGCUGGAAAAUGGUGGUGGACACUGCAGUCUAAGCAAUGGAUUUGUGGUUCAAGGCAGUCAUGGAUGGAGACGUGUGCGGCCCUGCCUGAAGACGUAUCCUGCCUCUCUGGGGUGGUUGUUGGUCAUUCUCUUCCACCAAAGUCACACAGGGCGGGAGGCGAGCUCAUCAUCAACCCCCUUCCCGCCGAACCCCCUCACCAGGCAGGCAGCCAGGUUAGCCCCCGUGAUCCAGAAGGUGGCAGACACUUCCUCUGUGUCACCUCCGCUCUGUCCAAGAAGCGUAGCUGGUUGCCGUGCAUUGCACCAGGCCCUGGGAGUGACCCUGGGCCGGGAGGAGGGAGAAGAGGAACAAGAAACCAGUACUGUUGCCGAGUUUUCCAUUCAGAGGACCCUGGUUAAGUGUGACUGGCUCAGAGACCACGCUUGAUGUGGCCUUGGAGCUCUUGGAGGGCGAGGCCUAUGUCUUAGGCGUGUCUGUACUCACAGUGUCAAGCUGAGCUUCUGGCACAUAGCAGGUGUUCACUCGGUCACUGCUGUGCGAGGGAGUGCCCCUCCAGGUGCCAGGCGGCCAAGCAGUUCACGGAGGUAAGAGGAGAACAGUGUCAGUGAAUGUUCAAAUGUAUCACAUCUCUGCCUUCCCCAGCCCCAGAUGAGCCUGUUGCCCCAUUAGAUAUAUGCCUGAUUUCUGGGUCCCAGGAACAAAGUGCAGAAAAGUCUUCUUUUAUUGGUGGCAAAAUCUCCAUCUCCCUCGAGAAAAAGGGGACACAGUCUGUGUGUGACUCCAGAGUUUUGUACAGCCUUGGAGCUCUCUUCUCUUUAAAAGUUGGCAAGUUAAAACUGUUCUUGGUCGCAGCAGUAAGAACUGGUCCUAGUGUUGGUACUGCCAACCUAAGAACUGCACUUCCUCGGAGCCCAGGUCUUCUGAACAGCUAAACUUUAACUUGGUGAGGAUGUGGUCAGAUCAUUGAGUGUUCAGUUGCUAGCUGCCUCCUUGUCUACUUGCCAGAGGCUUACCUGCUCACCUGGUUGUCUCCAGGACACAGGAGAGAGCUGGUCACCCAGCUUACAUGCUCCAGUCUUGGAAUUUUGUAGCUGAAAUGGCAUUUAUGUGAGUCUCCAGAAUGCCCUCUCAAAGUGCUCUUCUAAUGAUUAUCCCAGGACCAAAUGGGAUAAGAAAUUACGGAAAUAGGUAGAUGAGGUUGAAAAGGAUGAUCGUGUGAAGGCUAUUGGAGAACCUAGGGCUGGAGGGAUAGGGAACUCUCCAUGGGCCUGCUUAGGGAUCUGGGGUAGGCCGCUCCUAAGGGAGGGAGUGUGACUGUGGACUGAUAGGCUUCCAGGAAAUAGCCCAAGAAACAAGGUCUAAAAGGAAAGCUGUAAAAUGUUUUAUGGUAUGUAAAGGCAACCCCCCUCCACUGUCCACUCCCCACUAUGGGGGACAUGAAGAGAGUUCCCCCUCCAGGACUGCCAUGCCAGCCUCUUUUGAUACCUCUGACCCUCAUUCAUCUAGUGGGUUUGAGACUCUGGUAGUAGUAGUAAUCAACACAUAGUGAGUGCUGACUCUGCCAAGUGCUUCACAUACUGCAGCUAAUUCAAUCCUCCCAGCAACCCACUGAAAUAGAUAUGUUUCUCUCCUCAUGUUACAAACGAAGAAAAUAAGACACUAAGAGGUUAAAUAACUUGCCCAAAGCCAUGCAACUAAUAAGUAGACUAGAAACAAGGAUUGCAAUCCAAGUCUGCCCAUUACCCAUGCUUUGAAAAAAGUUGUUUUUCCAUGGCAGGGUUUUUCAUUUCAUUUGCUAGAAUAGCCGACCCACUUUUUGUCUGUGUUAUAUCUAGGCCGGCUCGCAAGAGUCCUGCCUCAUAAACCCUUCUUUGGCCUGCCAGAGCUGCAAAAUGGUUUCUAAGAGACCAAAUCUAGUAGGUAACGAACGCUUCCAGUCCCCUAUUAAAGCCACGUUCAUGAGAGACACUAAGCUUUCUGUUACCAGUCACUGGAAUUUCUGCUGUAGAGUUUUGUGCAGUUUCUUGAGUCCUGGUGGAUAUCAGGACCUGUGAUGAUACUCUCAACCCUUUCAGUUACUCAAACAAAACAAACAGGAAAUCAUUUCUUUCUGCUCCACAAUGUGUGGGGCCCCAACUGGAGCAGCUGGGAUGGCUGAAGGUGGCCAGGCUGGUUCAGCUUGGGCCUUGUGUCAGGAGCCUCGGUUCUCUCUGUCAGCUGGAUUUCUCAGUUUGUCUCCAUGUGGCAGCCCCUGGGGAUUUCAUGUCCAAAUGGCUUUUUCACUCAGGUGCUGGUCCUUCCAUAUUCUUUUUUGUCCCUCUUCUCAGUGGAGUAGCCACACCUUCUUACAUGGUUGCUCAGGGUUCCAAGAACGCAUGACCCCCUGCUCUUCUCCAUUCCACUAUACAUAUCCCACCCCUCAGCUCCCUUCUGGGGUCGGGGGCGGGGACUGCCUCAUUCAGUCCCUGAUGCCCAGGGGACUGUGUCAUUUCACAUGGCCCUGCCCCUGGCCCUCCCCAUGCCCACACACAGACAGUUCAUUGGGUCAGGAUCCGAUACAGGCCUGUCAGUGGCUUUUGAAUCAGUUGGCUCAAAAACAUAAGGAACACCAGUCAGAUUCCCCCUUUUGGCAAUCUGAACAAAGAAAUCAGACAGCGUAGGAUGUGUGCUGUAAGAGGUCGUGAGGGUGGGUAGGGCCCGCUAGAUAGACCAAAGUGCGAGUCAGAAUUACACUGAAGAAGGAAGUUGGAGUUUGAAGGAAAAUAAAACCCAAACCGGGACAUGGAGAAAAUCCACUCAUACUGGAGCAAAAAUAAGUCUGUUUUUGGCAAGGAAAUAAAGGAAGGAAUGAUCAGAGUAGAGCUGGGACUCCAUGAGAGACAGAGAGAGGAGCCAGCCAUAGAGCUGCUCGGUCCUGCUUUGCCCAUGUGUGUCAUGGCAGCAAGCUUGUUAAUCAUUCCCUGUGCAGUCAGUUGCCUUAGAAGUGGCAACUUCGAAGUGAUUCAGUUCUGCCAAUAAAACUUAAGGGGAAAUUGGCUGGGGACUUUGGGGAAGAAUUUUGCUAUUUGAUUGAGAGAUAGUGAGUUUGCCUGUCCCUUCUUCUUGCUUUGAAUAUGGAUAUUUGAGGAUAUGAUAGUUGGAGCUGAAGGAGCCACCUUGAGGCCAUGAGGCAGUGUGAAGGAAAAUAGCCAACAUGCUGAGGAUGGCAGAGCAGACAGAGGAAAAAAGAGCCUGGGUCCUUGAUGAUAUUGUUGAGCCACUGCACCUAUCCUGGAACCACCUUCUUCCAGCCUAGGUAAUAUAAAAGUUAAAUGCCUUUAUUUGCUAAGCAGAUUUCUGUUACUUGCAGCCUAAAGCAUUCCUAACCAGUAUGGCAGUCCUCUUAACCUCUCUGUCAUCAACUCCUUGAAGCCCUGUGGCUCUUGCUAUAGCUCCAAAUGGAAUAUCAGCCCAUGUUUAGAUAUUGGAAAUGUUGCUUAUGUGGUAGGAAAUUAAAAGCCAGAAUUUGUCACAGUACUUAGUCCCAGCUGCUGAGCCUACAGGGCACAGACAAAGAAAGAAAUCAGAAAAUUCCAGAGGUAUGAGCAUGAAUUUUCAAAAAUAUGGGACUCUAUGAAUUUUAGGAAGAACAGGUUUGAUGAGGUUUUAAUCUCUAAGCUGUGGCACCUAAGCAAGAACCAGGAAAGCAGGGAAGGCUCGAGGAAGGAGGGAUGAAUUCUGGAAAAGGAAGCCAGUGUCCAUGGCAGGAUUUUAUGAGCUCCAUGUACUAGCUGGAAGAAGUUAAAGGCAGCUGGAGUGAAACUGGUGAAAAACUAAACCCUUGGGUUACUCUGCAACCAACCUUACUGACCUUUUAGAUUCUUUUAGGAAUAUGGAGCCUGGAAUUGUGGCCCUCUAUUUCCACUCUCUGUAUAUAGACACUCCCCAUUUUCUUCCUUAUCUCUUCUCCACCUCUCCCUUUGUUGCUCUUUUUCCUUAUUUUUUCUAAGCAAAGCCAGAAGCCAGAAAUACACAAGGCUUGAAUCCCUUCUAACCCCAGUGGAGGCAAAGGCAUGUCUUGUAAGACUGAGAAUGCCGGUCCAGGGAUGACAAAGUAGCUUGGCGGGGUGGGUGAUCAGAUAAUGAGGACUGGAGAAAACUGUCUUCUGGCCCAGCUUUCUUGAAGCAAUUUAACACAAGAACAUAUGCCUCAUCCCUCCCUUAUGAAAUGAGAAGCUGAACUCAAGAACUCCAGCCCUUCCUCUUUAAAUUCUAUUAUUUUCAUGUAAAACAAAGAGGAAAUGAGUUCAUUGCAUUGGCAUCCUCCUAAUGUGUCCUACAAACACAGAUUAUCCCAUUACAUUCAGCCCUUAAGAGUCACCCAACCAUUUCCCAACUCAGAUCAUCUACAGCAGUGUAGGAACACAGCCCAAAGGAGUUUAUCAGAUUUAGGGGACCCACCGUGGAUGUGUUGCAGUGAUACUAGAAGUUGCCAUCUCCAGAUUCUACUGAGCCUAGCCCCUUUCAAUGCACUCUUUAUGCACCCUGCCCCCAAAAGGCCCAAAACGGAGCAACUAAGGUGUUUGCCUAUUUUGUUACUUCAUUUAUUCAACAGAAAUAUACUGAAUACCUAAUGGAAUGAGAAUUUAAGCUUAUGAAAGGAGUGAUAAUGUAAGGAAGAUAAGGCAUUAGAUACCAAAAGGAAAAAUCCUAUGAGAUAAUCAGAGAAGGGAAUGCAAGCUUUGGUUGGAGUGGAAGAAUCAAAAAAAUUCAAACCCCUACUUUGAUGUGAGUAGCGCUUUAGUGUGAUACUUAAUAAACCCUGAAUCCCCCUGAAAGUUUCCCUGUAUUUCACUAGGGAUUCUCUGAAAUCCAAAAAGGAGAAGUAAAGGCUUUCCCCCCCUCUUCAUAAUCAAGGUUUUUCUCCAGUAUGAAUUAGCCUGAUUGCUGACUAAAAGCUCUCCCACAGGCUAUACAAGAGUUCUUUCCUGUGAAUUCUCCUAUGAUGAGAAAGGGCUGAGCUAUCCCCAAAUGAUUUGCUGCAUUGAUUAUUUGCAUAGCCUCCUCUCCAAGCUGAAUGAUCUGAUGUUCAAUAGCUUCCCCUAAUAGUUUUCCAUAUUCAUUACAUAUGACCAGCUUAAGUCUCAGAUGAAUCAGCUGCGAUUAUCUAAGGAUGCAACUUUGAUUGAAGUUUCUUCCUCAUCCAUUUUACUCAUAGGGUUCUCUCUGCUAAUUAGCUCUGAGCUGCAUCUAAAAGCAUUCUUUUAUCCAUUACAGGCAUAUGGUUUUUCUCCAGUUUGAAUUCUCUGACGUUGAAUGAGCGUUACUUUCCUGAAAACCCUCACACAUUCGUUGCAUUUGUAGAGUUUCUGUUGCCUGUGAAGUAGCUGAUGCUGUGUGGUGUUGGGAUGCUGACAGAGGCCUCCCACACCCACAGGGAUUCUCUCCAAGAUAAAUGCUAUAUAUUUGAUUAUACAUUUAGGAGCCCCAAGGAAAUUUGCCCACAGUCUUAACAGUCAAAGAUGAUGUCUCCAAUAUGAAUAACGUAAUAUUGAAUACAUUUGGAAUUCUUUCCUAAGAUUUGGCAUAUAGAUCUUAUCUUUGGUUUUUCUCACUUCUGAAAAAUGUUGGUAUGUAGAUAGAAUUGCAGAUUUUUCCCAUUUUCAUCACACUCAUGUGGAAGGGUACCUAAAGCUUCUAGAGGAGGUCUCCAUUUUCUCAGAGCUCUCCAAACUCAGGGACCUGGUCAGCAUCCUCCCCCCAAUGUGGACCUUCUUAUUAUGUCCAACUCUGAGUCUCUUGCAAAAAGUUCCUGCUUUGGGGUCAGCUGUUUUCCUUGGUCCCAGUUUCACAAUAUGAAAUGACAGAAAAUGUAAAUAUCAACCAUUCUCUUGAGGACAAGAAAAUUUCUUAGACUGGGAAUGAAAGAUUUUGGAAGAAGGUUUAAGGACAAGAGUUCUUUGGGACAAAUAUAUAAAAUGAUGGGUACAGCAUAUUUCUGGUUGUUUACAUUCUCUUUUUUCUGAAUGAACCCAAUUUGGCUUACAGUGGCAGUGUACCCCUGAAAAAUACCUUCUCUGGUGACUGGGAAGGGAGCAUGUGGGGAGUUGCAAAGAGGCUAUCGAUAGUUGAUCCAAAUGCUGCUCAUUUGGGUGUGUGUUUGCUUGGUGAAAAUCAAUCAAGUUAUAUACUUAGGCUUUGUGCACUUUACAAUGAGAAGUUGUUUAAAAAAAAAAAAAAACCACUAUAUCCC